GAGGGAGAUGGAGAACAUUCUCUGGGUUGCAGAGCAUGUAAGAGGCUGUGCCUGAUGAGAACAGGAGCAGUAGUAUCCAUCGUCUCUUUGGUGGUAACUUCUGUCAUUUCUCCUGUGGUGACUUCCGUCAUCUCUUCCAUAUUGGAUCCUGUGGUCCUUGGAUUUUGUUCAUUCGAUGAGGACCUUUAUGUCUGAAGGACAGUAUCACCCAGUACAGAAGUCCCAGUUGGUGGCUUUUCUUCUCAGAUCUGUAAGUAUUUUACUGCAGCCACCUCCCCUUCCCCUUUCUGUGCCAAGCUCCCUCCUGUGAUCUGAGCACCUGCUUCUUUGCA